rnacentral:lncRNA from 1 species
ACACAUGGCCGCCUCCCUGACCCACUGAGCUUCCUGUAAGGUUUGGGGCGUUCGCUGAACUGUUACCUUGUGUCAACUUUUUUAUUUGUAUAUGGCAUCUCUGAAACUCAGCUAUACCCCUCACGGCUCAUCUCUGGGCUCAAGAUGAAAAAUAACACCUCCUGAAUGAAUGAAUAAACCCGUCAUGGUCACUCCCCUGGUCCACAAGGAGGAGCUGGGCCCUUAGGGGAUGUUUCCAUGGACUGAUCAACACUGGGGAAGCUUUUCAGAAAGCUGCAGUCAAGAGUUCCGGAGAGUGUAGCCGAUGACACUUCUGUCAGCCCCCCCCCCCCCCCGUGGGGCCUACCCGGAGCUGUCACCAGGAAAAAUAGUGGCAGACACCGCUCUAAGUAUCUAGAGUUUGUCUGUGUUCUGCUGUUUAACUCACUGUAAGUGAGCCCCCCUGAACAUCCGCUUAGCUGCUUCGGAAAGCGGGUGGGUCACACCUAAUGAUAACCAUGACUCUCACCGUAGCCUACGCCAAUUCGAUGUUUGAAUCACAUCGUUCAAGUUCAUGUUCAUCAGCCAAAGGGUUACAAUGAAAACAGUCAUGAUUACAAAUAGUCGUUUGUACAGUCAGUGGUAACUGCACAAGAUACAUGUGACAAACAACAUCUCUGUGAAUAACACGUACACAAGAACACAAACACAUCCACAAACGUGAGGCUGAAAUCCACAUGCUAGCUCCUUCUGGGAGAAGGAGACGCAAACUGUGACUUUUCUUUAUAUUUACACACCGGUUCCAAAGCUAAUGGUUAAUAUGUUUGCCUCGUUCUAAGAUUUAGAAGUAUAAGCUAUUAUAUAUCAUGCAUAGGAAAUUGAUAAAUUACAUUAUGUGCCAAAAAGCUACAUAUUUCUAUGUAGACACCUCUGUUUCAAACGGAAAUGUGUAACUGAACAAAUAAUUCUUCACCAGAAUGGAAGUUAACGCAUAGGCAAGAGCAGUUAACUUGCUAAGUCUUUCCUCCGUGCUAAGAGUAUUAGUCUUUGUUUCCUGCAUCCUUAGUAUACUUCCUUCCUAGAAUAUUGAGGGGAGGUCAGUCUGAAUUAGAAGUCUGAUACAGAGCUUUUAAAACUUUCCUUCAAAUACAUAAAGUCCCAUACCGCCAAUAUUAAAUUAGGCCUUGUCGAGCCCAGGCCAGUACAGUUUUGCCUUUUACUACUAACUUAAAAUGAUUUUUAAUUCAGGGGCGCCUGGGUGGCUCAGUCAGUUAAGC